rnacentral:rRNA from 1 species
UACGAAGGGGGCGAGCGUUGUUCGGAUUUACUGGGCGUAAAGGGCGCGUAGGCGGCCCUCUUUGUCGCGUGUGAAAGCCCCGGGCUCAACCUGGGAAUGGCGCGCGAAACGGGGGGGCUUGAGUUCGGGAGAGGAGCGUGGAAUUCCCAGUGUAGAGGUGAAAUUCGUAGAUAUUGGGAAGAACACCAGUGGCGAAGGCGGCGCUCUGGACCGAGACUGACGCUGAGGCGCGAAAGCGUGGGGAGCAAACAGG